rnacentral:tRNA from 4 species
CGGGAUGGAGCAGCCCGGUAGCUCGUCAGGCUCAUAACCUGAAGGUCGUAGGUUCAAAUCCUACUCCCGCAACCA